AGAAUUAGAUUCAUGAUCUCUGAAGGCUUGAAUGCUUGAAGUGAAUUCUCAAGUAUUCAAGUGAUAUUUUGUUGUAAUACUCUUGUUAAUACAUCUUUGAUGAUAUCACUUGAAUGAUUUAAGCACUUGGUUGGUCAAAAGGACAAGUGACUGCAAAACUGCUGCACUGUGUGCACUGUUUCUGUGGCAAACACUUUCCAGAUGUGCACUGUUGACUUUCGUGCUGCUAUCAGGGAAACACAAGGGAUCAGGUCCCUAACUUUUUUCUCUAUUUUCUACACUUGUAUCAGUCACAUUAGCUGGAGUUUUGGCUGGAAUCCGUUCAUUAGCAAUGUGUACCAAGUGUGUCAGGUUCCCUAUCUGGUUCUUGACAAUAAGUUUGUUAGAUCAUCAAAAUAUAAGGCAAAGACAUUGAAAAUCCAUCAUUUACCUAAAGGAAAAAGGAUCAAUUCCCACUUAUUACUUUCUUUAUAAAAAUUCUAGAUCUGUCUCUGGCUUCGUGCAUAGUAUAAAUGCAGAGUUUACUUAAUACGGUUGUGAUCAUAAAAGUUGAGUCACUUAUUUGAUCUCUUCUAUUACACAAAACAUAAAUAGGAUUGAUAAAAGCGAUACAAACGUACUUCUUCUAAUUACAUGUGCAUAUACUAGCACAAUUAUACUACUUAUAGGAGUGCUUAGCAAUUGAUAAAUCUGUAGAUCUGAUAUUUUUAGACUUUGAAACAUUCUUCAAUUAGGCAAUAUGCUGCAAUGAUAAUGACAAUCAUUAGUAUAUGGCUGAUAAUGCCACCAACAAGUCCUGCAUAGUACUCCAUCUGAGCAAUCUGCAUCAGAACUGCAUUCUCUAUCACAAGUCCACUUAAAAAAGUCAUUUGGAAUUAAUGUCAUUUUUAUCAUUGAUAUAGAUAGCGGCAAGCCAGCUCCCUUUCCAUCGCUUUCAUCUCUGAGGUUUGAGUCAAAUCAACUGCAUAAUAUUUUGAUAUAACCAACGUCAAGUUUAAUUAUCAUAUAUACAUGUCUAUGUAAUACUCUUUUGUAAUAACAACAACAAACUCAAUGUAAUAUAACAAGUGAGAUGUGGGGGUUUGGGAGCAGUGAUGGAGACAGAAUUUCCAUAAAUUCGAAAUAUAAGUGAAAUAUUUGUACAUAAAUCCGAAAUAUAUGUACGGUCCCCUAAAUCUGCCCCUGUUGAGGAGGAUAGUAUGUACGUAUGGCUUACCCCUACCAUGUGAAGGUAGAGAGGCUAUUUCAGGUAGACUCUCGGCUAAAAAUAUUAAAAAAGAAAUAGCGACAACAACAAGAUACUAGAGAAAUAAAUUGGAUUUUGUCUUAUAUGCACGGUAUAAUUUUCCGACAGUAGGGGGUUCGGUGAACCCCCUUCUGGCCCCCUAAAUCCGUCCUUGCUAAGGAGGAUACUGUGUACGCAGGCUUACCGCUACCACGGUGAAGCUAGAGAGGCUGUUUCAGGUAGACUCUCGGCUUAAAGAAAAAUAAAAAAUAAGCGGUGACAACAAACAUUAACAACAAUAAGAUACUAAGAUAACUGAAGCAAAAUAAACAACAGUAAUAAAAAUCAAAGAAUAAGAUCUUUUCUAAUUAACAAGAACAAAAAAAGAGAGAGGAAAAAGAUGGAGAAGAGUAAGUCAUGGCAACAAUAAGGAGAAUGGAGAAGAAGAUACCAAAUCUAAGUAAAGAACUUUUUAUAGCCAUGGCAAUAAUGCUAUAAGCUUGAAGAUGUAGAGUAGAAGAGUAUGGU
rnacentral:lncRNA from 1 species